UAAUAAGUGUUUUAUGGCACUUUUUAAAUCCAUAUCCACCUUGUGUGCAAUGUCAGUCGAUCUUCUUCAUGGAGAUCGACCAAACAUCAACCUUUAUCUUUUAACUCUUUGUCUGAAAAAUAUUAUGAACUAAACAAUUCAAAAUA
rnacentral:misc_RNA from 1 species